GAAAGAUUAGUUAAUAUAUAACAUUAGAAUGUCAAACUGAAGUAAUCAUAAAGAUAUCUUUCU
rnacentral:tRNA from 1 species